AAACUACGGACGUGUGAAUGUACUUAACGGGAACCUUUCACCAUGAAAUUGCAGGGUAAUCGACAGGCAGCAUGUUAUAGAGCAGGAGGAGCUGAGCAGAUUGAUAUAUAGUUUUGUGGGAAAGAAUUCAUUACUUUAAAUCUCUACUCAUUCUGGGCUUAGGAGUCAUGUGGGCGGUCCUGCUCGGUGAUUGACAGCCUUCCCCAUAUAGGUGUACAUACAGACAGCUGUCAAUCACUGAUGGGACCGCCCACACGACUCCUAAGCCCAGAAUGAGUAGAGAUGUAAAUCAAUAAAACACGUUUUGCCAAAUCUUUUUCCAUAAAUCUAUAUAUCAAUCUGCUCAGCUCCUCCUGCUUUAUAACAUGCUGCCUGCCGAUUACCCUGCAAUUUCAUGGUGACGGGUUCCCUUUAAACAAGUCACUGGAGCAAUAAUGUUUUUAACUAUGUUCCCCUGGUAUAGAUAUCAAGGCUUGAAUAAAUAAACCUGGCACCUGGAGAAUGCAAAGAUAAUCUGUCACCAUGUAUUAGACCCUAAUAACAGUACUCUGUAUGGGGGGGGGGAGGGGUGAACAACCCCCAAAACUGGAUUAGAGGGGUGUUAAAAAGAGUGCAUCGCUCUAGGCCGAUUGGUCGAGAGGGAUCAAGUGACCUAUAGUGACAGGUGAUCUUUUUUACUGCUUGACUGUAACCUUGGUUUAUUGUAUUAUGUAGGUUCUUCUAUGGACUGUUGGUGUUUGUAAUUGUGAUAUGGGUCCACACUGGUUUCUAGAUGAAGCUUUGACGUAGCUGGUUUAAUUUCAUAUCUGUCUCUGAUCAAUAAGGCAGGGUUCUGCCUUGUAUAGCUGUGCACAUGAAUAAUCUUCAGCUCAUUUCUAAUGUUGACCUAGGGCCUUCGGUAUACCUGAAUAUUCUUAUUUAUUCCGACACAUCAUCGCCUUUCUCCCUAGGAUCAUCUCCCCCUGUAAUCCCUAUCCAGUAUAUGCAUAUGUGUAUUCACUAGUAAAUGUAAGUCUGAGUUAAAGGGGUUGUCCAGUCGUUAAUAUUGAUGACCUCCCCUGCCGAUCAGCUCCAUGCGAGCACCCCUUCCUGUUCAUUAUCCCGCACUUCGUCUUGGAAGUGCAGUGUAAUACAAGUACCAGUGCUUGUAAUCACACUACACCACCCUUCACAGGAGAUGAGGCCUAGUGUGAUGAGCGCCGCCGCAUUGUCAAACAGCUGAUCAGCGGGGGUGCCAUGUGUCAGACCGCCAAUGAUCGGAUAUUGAUGACCUAUCCUGACGACAGGUCAUCAAUAUUAAUGGCUGGACAACCCCUUUAAGCUUCUUAUAUCUGCGUUCUCAGAAGACACCCAGAGUCCUGAACGACAAGUUAUGCAGCAGCAAGUAGAUGUAUAACAAAACGUGAAACUGGGAAGGCUGUGUGACAGUCCUUCUGAAAGUUAGGUGUCAGUCCCUGUGGAAACGUUAAAUGUAGCUAUAUAGUUUGACACUCAGCUUUUCUGUGGAAGGGUGUUGAAAAACUGGGCUCAAAACCCCUAAGGAAGCUGCUCUGGUUGGCAUAUAGAGACAUUGGCCCACUUUACAAAUCCAUUCUCUGACCUGUAGUAAAGGUCAUUUUCUAACCAGCGACUGUAUUUGUGAGUUAUCCCCUCCCUUCUGAUCCUCAGCUGUGUCAUGUGACCAACACUCUGACUCU